rnacentral:lncRNA from 1 species
GGUUAACUUUAAGGAAUAAGAGAUUGCAAUAGUUAUUAUGUUAUUUUUUAUGUAGUGCUUUAGACUCUGUGUUGCAAAUUUUUGGUUUACGCAGCUUUGAUUUUCACAUUUAUAAAUGACAACAAUUUUCUGUAAUUUAUAAGAUUUCUCCUUCAAAACUAAAUUUAAAAAAAAUACGUUAUUCAACCCGUGCAAAGCACGGGUUUGUAACUAGUU